UGUAAGUCAAUUUAGAAUUAUUAACACAGUAAAAGUCUAAAGUGGCAACACUCUAUAAACAAGAAAGUAUGACUAAGACAAAUUUAUUGGAUUUAGUCAAGACGAAAGUUUAGGUAUUUUAAAAAAUACUCAAAACUUACUCUUUUAAGAGAGAAAAAUAGGGCCAAUAAAUCAACUCUGUGACAUUUCAAAAUUUAAACCAUUUUAAGUUUUACCUAAAUCUCAAAUUUCAACUUGGAAGAAAACCGGUAGUUCUAACAAAACCAGCGGAAACUUUUAAAGGUUGGCUACAUGCACGGUCAAAAUACCAUAUUACAUCAAUGAGAAAAAAACUUGACUUGACUUCAUCUAAAAGAAGACAAAACUCUAAAUGAAGAAGUUUAGAAAGUGAUCAGCGUUGAUGAUGAAAUAGAAAACUUGUUUUGUUGCUUACUGAGGACUAUAUGUAUUAGAACUUUUAUUUUAUAAAAAUUUUAUUAUAUUGCUAUUCUUGCAAAUGGAUGGAAUAGGCCAUCUCUGAUUCAAAAUUGAAUUCGCAAGUUUCCGAAACUUCUACAGCCCUAAACACAAUUGGUGUACCCCAUAAAGACCAAUUAAUUAGCCAGUUUAAAUUGUGAAAGCUGAAUAAUGAUUUAAUUGCUGAUUGCUUUCAUAAAAUAACCUGUAACAGUGUCUAGAGAGCGGAACAUGAUUGUUUAAUAGAGAAGUAUAUUGAUUAUGCUUUAUGGAUUGCUUGACGUUAUCACAUUUUUGAGUUGCAAAUUAAAAAGUUUGAGAAGCAUUUAUUGGUAAUCACAAUGUUUAGUUGAGCCACAACUAAAAACAUACCAGGCCAAGGAAUCUAUUUGUCAUGAAACAACAGAUGUUAUCAAGUUUGAAUGUCCUGUAUACAAAAAAGACCCAAUCAAUAAUCAAUCAACUCUUUCAUUGAAAUGCUUACAAUUGCUUACAAAAAAAUGCAUUAAGAAUUUAUUGACCUAUCAAUGUUUAUCUUAGCGGAGAAUUACAAGGUAAAGGAAUUUUUUGGUUUAAGACUCCAGCGCUUCCUAUUGUGCAAGAAUCUUGAGCUAUAACUAAGUACGUAACAUUGGACUAAUAAACUAAAUUGCUUAAUCGUCCAUUUUCAAACGGACUAACGCUGAAAUGUCUAGAGAACGUCAGAUUUCAUUGCACUGUUUCAAGCAAAUGCUUUACUGUAAAGUCAAACCCUCAUAACUGUAGCAUGUGUCAACUUUCUAAUAUGUCACUGGCUUGAAUUGGUUUUGCAAAUUUUAGGGUAAGAAAACAAAUACAGCAAAUUUCAAUCAUCUUUGUUAUGAGCAUUUAUUAACUUUUACUCGAUAGAUAGUUGAGUUUAUCAUUCAUUUUGAUUAAUGAAUCUGUUAAGCAAACGUGCAAUUAGCAGCCGAUUUGAUAUUAACAAUAUACAAUAAAAGAAACAAAAAAAAACCUAAUCAACAUAUUA